UUUUAGCCCCGAUAGCAGUGAAAAUCCUUUUAUUGUUUUCUUUAAAACAAUAAAAGAUUGCAACUAAUGGCGGGAAAAGCU
rnacentral:sRNA from 1 species